GGGACUUCGGUCCUGAGUAAAGUGGCGCACGGGUGAGUAACGCGUAGAUAACCUGUCUUCAUGUCUGGAAUAAUACACCGAAAGGGGUACUAAUACCGGAUAUUCUUGCUUUAUAUAAGUUUUGCAAGCAAAGGUGGCCUCUGAUUCAAGCUACUGCAUGUAGAGGGGUCUGCGUACCAUUAGCUAGUAGGUAGGGUAAUGGCCUACCUAGGCGACGAUGGUUAGCGGGUCUGAGAGGAUGAUCCGCCACACUGGCACUGGAACACGGGCCAGACUCCUACGGGAGGCAGCAGUGAGGAAUAUUGCGCAAUGGGGGCAACCCUGACGCAGCGACGCCGCGUGAGUGAGGAAGGCCUUCGGGUCGUAAAGCUCUGUCAAGAGGAAAGAAAUGCAUAGCGGUUAAUACCCGAUAUGUUUGACGGUACCUCUAAAGGAAGCACCGGCUAACUCCGUG
rnacentral:rRNA from 1 species